rnacentral:rRNA from 1 species
AUUGAACGCUGGCGGCAGGCCUAACACAUGCAAGUCGAGCGAGCGGCGGACGGGUGAGUAAUGUCUGGGAAACUGCCUGAUGGAGGGGGAUAACUACUGGAAACGGUAGCUAAUACCGCAUACCAUCAGAUGUGCCCAGAGGGGAUUGGCUAGUAGGUGGGGUAACGGCUCACCUGGGCGACGAUCCCUAGCUGGUCUGAGAGGAUGACCAGCCAAAUUGGAACGAAGAAUGGCUCCAGACUCCUAGGGUGGGCACAAGUGGGGAAUAUUGCACAAUGAGCGCAAGCCGGAUGAAGCCAUGCGCCGGGUGUAAAGAAGGCCUUCGGGUUGUAAAGCACUUUCAGCGGGAAGGCGUUACCCGCAGAAGAAGCACCGGCUAACUCCGUGCCAGCAGCCGCGGUAAUAC